GGGGGCGACCUGGCUUCGACGGCGGUUGCAAAGCAAUGCAGUGCAUACCGAGGACCAGUGACCUCGUAAAUCCAUCUGGAAACCAUAUAGUUGCCAACGACGACAACUACGCCCUAGCCGCUUGACGGCUAGGCCCUGCACCCACUGGUCUCUGGGUGGGAGUUCGGGAAACCGAAUGGCAGGGUCAUUUACAGAGGCUCGUGACCUGAUGGGGCUCCUUCAUCGGUUCCUAAACUCAAGGGAGAUCGUCCAAGCGAAGUUCGUCGGUUGACGUCGUACGGACUAAAACCAAAGAGCCAGACUAAGUAUGUAGAUCUGCUUGUAGAGGACUGACGGACGCGGGUUCGAUUCCCGCCGCCUCCACCA
rfam:Ferrovum sp. Z-31 FEMY_contig000007, whole genome shotgun sequence.